rnacentral:rRNA from 1 species
GUCAUGCCAAUGGCAUUGCCCGGUAGCUAUGUUCGGAAUCGAUAACCGCUGAAAGCAUCUAAGCGGGAAGCGAGCCCCAAGAUGAGUCAUCCCUUGGACUAUAAGUCCACUAAAGAGCCGUUCGAGACUAGGACGUUGAUAGGUCAGGUGUGUAAGCGUUGUGAGGCGUUGAGCUAACUGAUACUAAUGACUCGAGAGGCUUAACCAU